rnacentral:rRNA from 1 species
GAUGAACGCUGGCGGCGUGCUUAACACAUGCAAGUCGAACGAUGAACCGGGUGCUUGCACUCGGGGAUUAGUGGCGAACGGGUGAGUAACACGUGAGCAACCUGCCCCUGACUCUGGGCUAAGCGCUGGAACCGGCGUCUAAUACUUGAUAUGUCCCGUCACUGCAUGGUGUGCGGGUGGAAAGAUUUUUCGGUUGGGGAUGGGCUCGCGGCCUAGCAGCUUGUGGGUGAGGUAAUGGCUCACCAAGGCGUCGACGGGUAGCCGGCCUGAGAGGGUGACCGGCCACACUGGGACUGAGACACGGCCCAGACUCCUACGGGAGGCAGCAGUGGGGAAUAUUGCACAAUGGGCGGAAGCCUGAUGCAGCAACGCCGCGUGAGGGAUGACGGCCUUCGGGUUGUAAACCUCUUUUAGCAGGGAAGAAGCGAGAGUGACGGUACCUGCAGAAAAAGCACCGGCUAACUACGUGCCAGCCGCCGCAGUAA